rnacentral:misc_RNA from 1 species
UUGGCCAUGUACUCGUACACCAGAAGCCGGCAGUCGCCGCUGUGGAAGCAGCACCACAGCUUCACGAUGUUCCUGUGCCGGAUCUUGCCCAGCGUUGCCACCUCCACGUCGAAGCUUUCCUUGGCAGUGCUGCCCGUUGCCUUGCCGCCACCGCUCCACAGCUUCUUGACGGCAACGGCGACGUCCUCGCCGCCGCGCCUCAGGACGGCCUUGUACACCUUGCCCGCCGCGCCCAUGCCGACCACGUUGUCCUCGUCGAGGCAGCCCACGAUGUCGUCCUCGUCGAACCCCACCUUGUGGAACGACGUCAUCACCCACCUGGGCUUGCCGCCGCCGUCGCCGCCGCCAGGCUCCGCGGGGUGUCCACCGUUGUGGCUCCGGUGGUACGUGUAGA